rnacentral:lncRNA from 1 species
ACACACAUAGGAUUACUUUUACUCUUAAAUGGCCUUAGUAACCACUAUCCACACUAAUAGCCAUUACUCGGUAUUGAUUACCCCAUUAACUUGUAUAUGGUGGCUCUUAAUAACCACUACCCAUAUUGAUAGCCAUUACUUGGUAUUAAUUACCACAUUAACUUGUAUGGUGGCUACAUGUAACCCUAAUUGUUAUUAACAUGAAAACAAGUUAAAUAUUAUUCCUUGGGCCUCCAUGGAUGCCUUAUUGGGUUGAAGUUCUUGGGCUUUCCAAAUGUCCCUAAUUAAAC